rfam:Rhizobium sp. R72 R711_NODE_1, whole genome shotgun sequence.
GGAAGGGCGACCGACCGUGGGGAGGAAGCGUGGAUCGCAACUGCGGGCCGAUGAAUAAGAACCGGAUAUGAGGCGGUGCCGACCAGGGCGAGCGGGC